rnacentral:rRNA from 1 species
GUUUGAUCCUGGCUCAGGAUGAACGCUGGCGGCGUGCUUAACACAUGCAAGUCGAACGGGAAUGUUUCGCUGAUGCGAUUUCGGUCAAAUCUUGAAGCAUUUUAGUGGCGGACGGGUGAGUAACGCGUGGGUAACCUGCCCUGUACAGGGGGACAACAGUUGGAAACGACUGCUAAUACCGCAUAAGCGCACAGCUUCGCAUGAAGCAGUGUGAAAAACUCCGGUGGUACAGGAUGGACCCGCGUCUGAUUAGAUAGUUGGUGAGGUAACGGCCCACCAAGUCAACGAUCAGUAGCCGGCCUGAGAGGGCGAACGGCCACAUUGGGACUGAGACACGGCCCAAACUCCUACGGGAGGCAGCAGUGGGGAAUAUUGCACAAUGGGGGAAACCCUGAUGCAGCGACGCCGCGUGAGUGAAGAAGUAUUUCGGUAUGUAAAGCUCUAUCAGCAGGGAAGAAAACAAUGACGGUACCUGACUAAGAAGCCCCGGCUAACUACGUGCCAGCAGCCGCGGUAAUACGUAGGGGGCAAGCGUUAUCCGGAUUUACUGGGUGUAAAGGGAGCGUAGACGGUAGACCAAGUCUGAAGUGAAAGCCCGUGGCUCAACCCCGGAACUGCUUUGGAAACUGGUAAACUAGAGUGCAGGAGAGGUAAGUGGAAUUCCUAGUGUAGCGGUGAAAUGCGUAGAUAUUAGGAGGAACACCAGUGGCGAAGGCGGCUUACUGGACUGUAACUGACGUUGAGGCUCGAAAGCGUGGGGAGCAAACAGAAAUUAGAUACCCUGGUAGUCCACGCCGUAAACGAUGAUUACUAGGUGUCGGGGAGUAAACUCUUCG